rnacentral:piRNA from 1 species
UCCUCUCUUGCGGAUUUUAAGGCAA